GGUGGUUCUCAGGUGACACACCCUGGAAUUGUGCUCCCUCCUCUCUGGUUCCAGGUGUAUCACCCAAGAACCACA
rfam:Myotis davidii contig110998, whole genome shotgun sequence.